rnacentral:rRNA from 1 species
GACGAACGCUGGCGGCGUGCCUAAUACAUGCAAGUAGGACGCAGUUGCGAACGGGUGAGUAACGCGUAGGUAACUACCUAUUAGAGGGGGAUAACUAUUUGAAACGAUAGCUAAUACCGCAUACUAGUAGAUGGACCUGCGUUGUAUUAGCUAGUAGGUAGGGUAAUGGCCUACCUAGGCAACGAUAAAUAGCCGACAGGAGAUGGGGGUCGGCCAGACUGCGACGGAUACACGGCCAAGAGGACAACGGGAGGAAGCAGUAGGGAAGCUGCGGCAAGGGGGGGAACACUGACCGAGCAACGCAGCGUGAGUGAAGAAGGUGUACGGAGAGUAAAGCUCUGUUGUGAAGGAAGAGGGAAUUAACCAGAAAGGGACGGCAAACUACGUGCCAGCAGCCGCGGUAAUAC